GGCGGUGUAGCUCAGCUGGUUAGAGCGUUCGGUUCAUACCCGAAAGGUCGGGGGUUCGAUUCCCUCCGCCGCUA
rfam:Brevibacillus panacihumi W25 genomic scaffold Scaffold1, whole genome shotgun sequence.